rnacentral:rRNA from 1 species
CUAGCCAUGCCGCGUGAGUGAUGAAGGCCCUAGGGUCGUAAAGCUCUUUCAACUGUGAAGAUAAUGACGGUAGCAGUAGAAGAAACCCCGGCUAACUCCGUGCCAGCAGCCGCGGUAAUACGGAGGGGGUUAGCGUUGUUCGGAAUUACUGGGCGUAAAGCGUACGUAGGCGGAUUAAUAAGUUAGAGGUGAAAUCCCAGGGCUCAACCCUGGAACUGCCUUUAAAACUGUUAGUCUUGAGAUCGAGAGAGGUGAGUGGAAUUCCGAGUGUAGAGGUGAAAUUCGUAGAUAUUCGGAGGAACACCAGUGGCGAAGGCGGCUCACUGGCUCGAUACUGACGCUGAGGUGCG